UAAACAUCUUUAUAUGAGCAUUUAAACAAAGUUUGAAGAGAUCUUCUCUGGUUGUUCCUCAUUUACUGGAGCUCUUGGAAGCAGCACAUGGUGCCAGACCUUUUUCAACCGCACUUGCUAGAUGAAGAGGCUCCUGCAGACACCGUAGCUGAGCAGUGGCCAAUUCAGACUGACAUGCCUGUCUCAAGAACCCAUAGUAGCUCCACUCUAACAGGAAACCUCUGCAAAGCGUAACCCAUGCAAAUCUGGCUUCUCCAACAAAAUCCAGAGGGUGAGCUUACUUGAAACUGGGGAGGCUGAGAUGACUUACAUAGAUGUGGGAAGCAGCCCUGAUGAAAGAAGAAACCCUGCUCUCGUCUGACUCCAUGAAGAAAAACACAGGAAAACGCUGACGCAGCUCACCCGCAAAAAGCCAGAGCAGACCGCCUUCUGUCUGAUGGGGGCCUGAUUCAUGUGGCCAAGUGUGUUCUGUAGUGGGUUCUGUGGUUGCUUCCUUGGGUCAUAAGAGACUGAGGCACUAAACACCCUACUCUCUUUCUACUGACGAUUUUCACUUUGCCUUGUGUUAUUAAAUCCUCUUUUCCAUCACAGGUUACAGCCACACAGGCAGUAGCUACAGUGAGAACUAUGGCACAGCUAAAGUUACAGCUCUCAACUUGACACAAACCUGGGAAACAAGAAUCUCAACUGAAAAACUGUCUUAUGUCCUAAUUGGUAGAGGAAGGCCCAUUCUACUGUGGCAUUGCCACAGCCAGGCCACUGGCUGCUACCAGAACAACCUCCUCAGUGAAACAGCUUAGAAGCACAAGUGUAUUCUUACCCCUACCACUGGCCGGUAGGAGACUGUGAACAAUUUCAUCCAUACAACCUCUCUGAAGAGCAAGGGGGUCUGUUUUAGCCUAUAGCCUACAGUCCACUACCACGGAAAGACAGGCACAAACCUGAGGCAGGAGCAUUGAGAAGAACCAUGAAGAAACUCUUCUUACCGACGUACUCCCUCUGGUGUGCUCAGCUCUCUCUCUUACACACCCAGGCCCACCUGCCUAGGGAUGGCACUGCCCACAGUGGGCUGGACCCUCUGUGUUAAUUAGGAAUUAAGGAAGUACUUCACAGAGAGGAAGUCCACAGGUCAACCUGAGAGAUACCUAGACAUGAAUAUUGAUAAUAUUUAUGGUUGUGCAUAUAAGUAUUAGUGGAAAAUAUACAAAUGUUAACCACAAAAGGAAUGAAAUCUGCAUACCCAUAUUGUACCAGUUAUCUUUUAUAUUCUUUUGAGUAGUUUUUAUUGUGAUAAAGUGCAUGAACCAUAAAG